rnacentral:lncRNA from 1 species
UCAUUCCCUUUAUAAUACAAAAUUUUAUCUUCCCCUAACGACGAGUGAAAUUUAAACAUGAUGAGAUCUAGAAGACCCUAUACUUUCAAUUAAAGAUGUUCUUAGAAAUGCAACUAAUGCAAUAGAUCCACAACAAAGGAUCAUUAGGUAAAGUCUAUCCGAAAGACUGGGGAAAAAUUUUGAGAACGCUCGAAAAAUCAAUGAAGGCUAGGAAGUUCAACUUUGAAGUGUUAUAAUCAAGGUUGAUUCAUGCAAAUAAUGCAAGUCAUCACUAAAGCUACAAGGUAUCAACGAGGGACAACUUAUCUAUAGUAUCGAGAGAAAUGCACCAAGGGUUAACAUGGAAGACACUCCCACUACUUAACUAAAGAUCUUCUCUACAAAUACUGUUAAAAUAUACUAUCAAUCCAAACGUUUCAAAAUCACAUUGAUCAUUAACGCAUGAUCAAACACUCAUUACAUCAGUUAUAGGGGAUCAACCAAAUCUUCAGGUGGCACAUGCUUAUUAAGGGACUGGAAAGAAGGUCCAUAUAAUAAGGAAUGAUAAUCUAUACUCUCAAUCCUAGGGAGGAUUUCUAAAAAAGGAGAUAUGCUCAAAAGCAUUCAAACUUGGAUUACAACUAAUAAUCAAUUAUGAAAAAAUGCCUAAAUUAGUUGAUGCUACAACUAUAGUGGACCUCAAAGAGUUCAUAUAUGAAGAUACCUAAAAUAUAAGGAGACUGUCAAGGAGGCACCCAAUAAAUAUUCAGAGUCUUAAAGGAAGUCUCGUACAUAUACUCAAGCCUCUUUCUUCCAUCAAAGUGCGAGUCAUCAAGAUUAUAUACUAAGAUAGCUUACACGGCACAUUCACUGCGCUCUCACUCAAAAUCAUGCUACAAAGAACCGACCUUGGGAUAGAAAUUUUGAAACUUGACUUAUAAAAGUAUCAAUCGAAUUAAAUAAUCCUUUUAUGAUAAGCGUUGGCACAAGGAAAAAGUGAUAGGAUGUUGAAGACUCUUACAUAAGACACACCACUCAAAAAUGAACAAUGAGCCUGUAAAGGCAAGCUCAUAAUUACCAAUCUUACCAUUCUCCACCCACCCUUCCUUGUGGUUAAAUUUUCUUAAUUUUCCUUACAUGGAACUAUAUUUUGACCUGAUUCCUAUUCUAGGAUACGUAGGUAGCCUGAGUCAGGCCCAAUCAUAUCAAUAACAUAAUCUUUCUAUCCUUUCAAAAGUUUAAUUUAUCACCUCAAGCCACAUCGAUCAUAUCACUUUGAUAGAAGCCUAAGAGCGAAGAGAAAGAUAGAGAAAGUCCUCACUAGAAGAUAUACCAAUACAAGCACAUCAUUUGGAUUUAAAAUGCGCCACUACUUUAUUUCACGAAUUGAAGAAUAAAUCUACUAAUUGCUGAAAGGUUGAAGGAUGAGAUAACUAUUAGGACAAGUUCCUGAUCAACACAAAAUCAACACCUCCUCUCCAAGCUAAGAUUCUUUCUUUGAGUGCAGGAACAAUGCCGCAUUCACAAAAGUUCAAACAUCUUGGAAAAACAAAAUGCUACCUCACUAUCACGAGUUAUGCAUCCAGGUAUCAUUAAUUUAUCCAUAAUUAUUUCAAAAGUAUAAAGAAUCUUCUCUAAUUUUGUAGGUCGCGAUAAUGAUCAAGGAGGCAGACAUCAAGUAUCUCACAAUAUUCCAUCAGGAGCUCAACACUUCAUCUAUGUUAUAAGUUAGGGGGCCUAAUUUUGUAAUUAAUUUGCUAAAACUUUUUAACUCUAAAAGAAAUUUCUUGAUUUUUCACAGGUCACAUUAAAGGGAUGUCCUAAUUAAGCCUCUAUCUUCAAGAACUAACUAGUUGUUCACAAAACUCUAACAUAAUAAACACAGGGAAGUUCGCCCCAAAAAAUAGGAUUGAGGAAGUCCGCCCCGAACAAUAGGAU